UCUCUGUGUAGCUUUGGUGCCUAUC
rnacentral:piRNA from 1 species